rnacentral:lncRNA from 1 species
GUAAUCCGCGCAUUCGUAGAGUACACAUGUUGCUUAAAAGGAGUGCUACCUAGCUGAUCGUACGUACACGUCAGUUUUGAUAUGAUGCGGCACACUGUAAAAAACUCAACUUACAACAUGCGUGUUGAUCCAAAAAGAAUUAUAAAGUAUUGCGCACACAAGACUUAAAAGUACUAUAGAGAGAAUUUCAACAAUAAUGUCAUUUCAACAAUAACAGUUUCUAAAGAAGCUAAAUUUCUAAGAAAAGAAGCAAGAUGAUGCUAAGUAUGAAGCUAAUCAAAGUAAGAGAAAACACAGAACACUGAAGUUGAACAAGCAUUGUUCGAUGGUAAGGCCAUAACCCAAUUGCGACCAUAGAAAAUCGAUGAAUAUAAAGAAAAGUAUUUUUCAAUGCAAAAUUUCCUAAGUUAACAGAAAUAUACCGUCGAAAGUAACAUAAAAUAUCAAGAUGUAAUGUAAGGUGCUAUAGAAAUAAUUUGCUGGCAAUUUGCGAGGGAGAGAAAAGUGGGCGAUUAACCGAUCGAUUUGGCGCCGUAACGAAAGUACAAAGGAAUUUUAUUUCUCACAGAAAAAUAGUCAUUGCAUGAUGUCUUGAUCGAAGUUCGCGCAAGCGCAAUUGAUUUUUCCAAGUAGUACGUCUUCGUGUUCUUCAUUAUGAUCCGCGCAUUCGUAGCGUACACAUGUUUCUUAAAAGGAGCACUACCUGGCUGAUCGUACGUACACGUCAGUUUUGAUAUGAUGAAAAAUAGUCAUUGCAUGAUGUCUUGACCGAAGUUCGCGCAAGCGCAAUUGAUGUUUCCAAGCAUUACGUCUUCGCGUUCUUCAUUGUAGUCCGCGCAUUCGUAGAGUACACAUGUUUCUUAAAAGGAGCACUACCUGGCUGAUCGUACGUACACGUCAGUUUUGAUAUGAUGAUACGUUGGCAACUUGGAUCACGCAGUGUCUGAAGAUUUAUUGUGUACGUUAUUCUCACAUAUUGGCACCGUCAUAAGUCGCAAAAUCAUCAGAGAGAAGCGUGUACCCACGUACGAACUUACGUGAAUGCACGUGAAAAACAACGGUCGAAUUGAAACACAAACGCCCACGAGCGUAUAUAAUUGCGAAACGUGUGGACAUGGCAAACGCGUGAGGCCACCAAAAACCGAGGAUUUACAAAUCGAGCGAGCCUGAAGUCUCUGUUCCAUUCAAAGGGUGUAAAGGGAAUCGCUGCGUUGUCGCGCUGUCACGAAUGUGGCGGUUGUUGAGUGGUUAAAGCGAGGCGCAAUACAACGAUAAAUCAGGCGAAUGGAAAGCUAAGGAGUCAAAUAGAAAAAGCUCGUAGAGUAGAUUUGGAAACAUGCCAGAGUAACGAGCAGUCACCGGUUGACUCCAUGGUGUUUGCGGCCUUCGUGGUGGCCUCUUCGGUUGCUUCCAUCUUCUCUGUUUUAUUUCGUUUCCUUCUUCUGCUGUCUUUUCACAAUGUGUUUCCACGCUUCGUGUUUCGUACAGCUUUCCUCAUCAAUCCUUUCUUUCCUGUUGUCUUAGGUUCUCUUGUAUUUAGCCGCUGCUAAAUACAAGAGACCUACGUACAUAUUGUAGUCAGCAAAUCGUCAUUUGCACUCUGUAAAUCGCACAGUGACUUAUAUGUAGUUAUAAAUAAUAGCCAUCGCCUUCGCGGGAUUUUAAUUUAAGUGGCCCUCCGUUUGAAUGCCUUCUUUCACUUUCUCCUUUCACGUUCGCUCUUGGUUCGAGAGAAGGUAUCCCUUUUUUUCUCUUUUAGUAAAUUCUUAGUUCCUUUUACCCGGCUACGUUUCUGUUUCGGAUGUUUGAACGUUUAAUUUUAUCGGAGGAAAUUUUAAAGUUUGUCGAAAGUCAACGUUCCUCUCAAAAUUUCGUCACUGGUGACUAAUUAUUACUAAUGAAGAAAGUUUACAGGGUUUCGUUUUCACUCACAGUGGAUACAUUCCACGAUUUGUUUGGUAUCUUGCGGCGCAAUCUGUGUCGAAAACGAGUGACAAAACAACUUUUGGCUAUCUGAUAUCAAUUUUAUGGCACCUCUCCAUAUCUCUCCUUUCUUUUUCUUUAGUGUGUCACACUAUGAGUAUCCUACUUCUCUACAUUUUCGUUUUCUAUGCUUUCUGUUGGUCGAGAACGAUUAAUGCAAAUUUUAUUGCCAGAUUCCACCAGCACGUAUCACGGCGCAAUAACUUGGUUUGUCGUUGCCGUUUGCAAGCUGUGCAUGCUGACGCGAUUAGAAUUAAUUAAUUACGCGCCCUCGAUUUUUUACAAUUUCCAUCCCUCAGGGAUAGUUUGUUGACUAAAUCCUGUAAAGAGAGGAAAACAGAGAGACUGUUAUAUUUCUAAAUAUACUAUUGUUGUGUACCUACCAUUAAUUUCUUCCAAUCUAUGCAGAAAUUUAUUAGUAUAAUUUAUUAAGUGAAUACACUGAUCGUACUGUUUAAAAUUUAUUACAAUAUUUUUAAAAUACUAAUAUUUAAUAAAAUUUAAAGUUUAUUAUAAUAAACUUAUAAGAUUUUAUAUUAUGAUUUUGUUAUUAAUAUAUUUUCAUUGUUACUAAUUAUUUGUUAUUCUUGUUUGGUUCAUCUACACAAUAGCAUUUAUAUAAUAUUUUUAUUACAUAGUAUUUAUUUUAAUUGCAAUUUUUAAUCUGUUUUCGUUCUUUUCAUAAUUUCUUUUCAUAAUAACACGUGUUACCACAAGAUUAGGUCAACGUACAUGCCGAAUUAUCAAUUGCUUGAAUUUUAGGUAAGAUGGUGAGAGUGGGUAUGAUGAUAAAUCAUCAAAUACUUCGAAACAUUUCCAAAGAAAGACAAACAUAGGACGUAGCGAGGUAGAAGUGAGCAAUUGGAAAUAUCCGAAAAUGAGGUCGUCACGAAAGUUCAGGAACCGACGAUCGAGAGUCAGGUUUGGAUCAUCGACUUUCUUCUCUGCAAACAGGUUUCAUCGAUGAGAGGGGUAUUUGACCUUGAGAACUCUGACCGUGAUCCAGAAAUUAAUGCGACUUCCUCGUCCGUUCGAAUCGACGUAAUUCUCAGUUCCAAUUACUUUCCUUACUAAUGGAUCGUUUUUGAUCUUGACGUUUUAUUAAUCAUAAAAACAAUUGCAGCGUAUUGGAUAGUAAUAAAGACAAUAAUAAAAAGGAUUACGAUUUUAAAUGUUGCACAUACUUUUGUAAUAUAAUUAUAAGAGUUAAUUACACGAGAAAGAAAAUCAUGUUAAUGGAGUAGUAGGAUAAGGCCAAUAUAAUGAAAUACUAUUACAA